rnacentral:rRNA from 1 species
AAUUUUCCGCAAUGGGCGAAAGCCUGACGGAGCAAUACCGCGUGAGGGAAGAAUGCCUGUGGGUUGUAAACCUCUUUUCUCAGGGAAGAAUUUUGACGGUACCUGAUGAAUAAGCAUCGGCUAACUCCGUGCCAGCAGCCGCGGUAAUACGGGGGAUGCAAGCGUUAUCCGGAAUCACUGGGCGUAAAGCGUCUGCAGGUGGUUCAGAAAGUCUGCUGUUAAAUAUUAGGGCUUAACCCUGAACCAGCAGUGGAAACUACUAAACUUGAGUAUGGUAUGGGCAAAGGGAAUUCCCAGUGUAGCGGUGAAAUGCGUAGAUAUUGGGAAGAACACCAGUAGCGAAAGCGCUUUGCUUGGCCUUCACUGACACUCAGAGACGAAAGCUAAGGUAGCAAAUGGGAUUAGAUACCCCAGUAGUCUUAGCUGUA